AGUUGGUGGAGUGAUUUGUCUGGUUAAUUCCGUUAACGAACGAGACCUCAGCCUGCUAACUAGUAGUGCCUAUUCUCUGUUCCAUUAUCUCUCAGCGUUGCGGCGUUACGUUCCGCGUGCGUCCUUCGUUCGUGAGUGGAGCUUCCGGGAUAGGAUAUUGACUUUGCUUUGCAUUGUCGAGUUCGACUUCUUAGAGGGACUAUCUGUGUGUAGCAGAUGGAAGUUUGAGGCAAUAACAGG
rnacentral:rRNA from 1 species